UACAGAGGGGGCCAGCGUUAUUCGGAAUUAUUGGGCGUAAAGGGCGCGUAGGCGGCUUUGCGUGUCUUUCGUGAAAUCCCUCGGCUCAACUGAGGACGUGCGGAAGAAACUGCAGGGCUGGAGUCCGGGAGAGGAGGGUGGAAUUCCCAGUGUAGCGGUGAAAUGCGUAGAUAUUGGGAGGAACACCGGUGGCGAAGGCGGCAUCCUGGACCAUGACUGACGCUGAUGAGCGAAAGCCAGGGGAGCAAACGGG
rnacentral:rRNA from 1 species